CACCCAGCACCAAUCUCAACCUUCUUCUCAGAAAAGGGUGAAGGGGCCAGCAUCCCUUAAUUUAUAUCCAUCUCUUAUCAGUUUCUUCCCUGAAUAAGUGGUUCAGGCCAUUCACCUUUAGCCCUUUAAAUCUUGAUCUACUUGUCUCAGAAUGACUUCUGGAUACAAUCUUAAGGAUAUGGGUGAAGGUAAUCCCAGAGGUCUUCUUCGGAGGGGCAAACCAUUGUCUGCUGAAGCAGCUCAGUGCUCCUAUGGAAAGCACUCAUUGCGAAGAGCUUUUUGCUUAUACCAAGCCUAAAUUUAUCUUUUUUGUGUGUUUCACCUAUUACUUCUAGUUAUUUUCUCUGGUAACAAGCAACACAAGAUAUGGCUAACAAAUCAUUAUGUAUGGCUGGCUCCAUACCAUGCUGCACAUCCAACCCAGCUACAUGAAACCAGGGCUUAUCUUCUGAUCUUGCUAUUUGCUCUUCCUUUGACUCCAUCUCCUCUCCUUUAGAGAAUAUGUUCCACUUGUCCACCAUUCCAGGGGAGUUAAUUUAUCCUUCUUUGGAACCAUGCCUUCAGGUUGAAUGGUAAUGACUGUUAAAUGAACAUAUUCAUCCGUCAAAUCCGCCCUCAAAGUAAAUAGAAACAUUUAAACAAAACAAGUCAACACAUCAAUCAUAUUUAGCAACAUGCAAAAUAUUCACCCUCUACUACCUUCCCAAAGAGAAAGAGAAGUUGCUCCCUUAUCAGUACUUUGGAAUCUAGAUUGCUCAAGGCCCUAAUCAGACAGUGAUGGCUGCUAGUGUAUUUCUUUUUAUUUCCAUUAUUGAAGUGAUUUUGUAUGUUUUUCUCUUGUUUCUGGUUUCUUUACCUUGCAUCAAUAUAUGCAAGUCUUGCUAGGAUUCUCUGAAUAAAAUCU